GGCCUCAGGCGGGUGCACCCCACCACAGGCAUGGCUGGUGGUGGCGUGCGGGGGUGGGGUGGGCCAGGCUGUGGGACG
rnacentral:miRNA from 1 species